GUAGCUAAAAAAAUAGAGCAUCCCGAUUUUAAUCGGGACGGUCAAAGGUUCGAAUCCUUUC
rnacentral:tRNA from 1 species